UUUGUGGCAUCACUUGAAAAGUGUCUCCUUAUAUAUUAUAAAUAUCACUUAUAAAGCGUAGCCUUAGCUUAAGAGCUAUGGGUUCACUUUUUCUACCAAAGAGAACGUUUUUGAAAGGUAGCCUAUUUGUCAUACUUCAUGUGCACUUUAAAAGUAUUGCCUAAUGUAUCUAAAACCAAAUAUAAACCAAGACUUAGUAAAUUUUUAUCCCCUUUUCACCAACACUUAAACGUGACCUGGCUUCCUUUCUCCCUUUUCCCCUUCACGUGCCAUUGAGCUUCACUGAAAAUCAGAGAAAGGUCCCCCUCACGCCGUCACUCAUCAUCUUUUUCCCCUCUUCCCCACGCCGUCACUCAUCACCCUCACGCCGUCACCGUCACCCCUCUUCCCCGCUCCCCACUCCCAACUCACCACUCACGCACACCACUUCGCUACUGGAGAAUCAUCGCUCCUCUUCAUCCUUCUGCUCUGGCUGUCACUUCGAGCUCACCAUCGGGAAGAACCGCGUUCAUCCUCUCUUCGCUCAUCGUCAUCGAGAAGGGGUGUUCUCAAGAACAGGGCUAUUAUAAUGGCAUGUGUGUGCAACAGUGCUACUCUAUGAAUUUGCUUCAGCUUGCGUUUUGCUUACUCUG